rnacentral:rRNA from 1 species
CCUACGGGGUGCAGCAGUGGGGGAUAUUGCACAAUGGGGGGAACCCUGAUGCAGCGACGCCGCGUGGGUGAAGAAGCGCCUCGGCGCGUAAAGCCCUGUCAGCAGGGAAGAAAAUGACGGUAACUGAAGAAGAAGCCCCGGCUAACUACGUGCCAGCAGCCGCGGUAAUACGUAGGGGGCAAGCGUUACCCGGAUUUACUGGGUGGAAAGGGGGCGCAGACGGCGAUGCAGGCCAGGAGUGAAAGCCCGGGGCCCAACCCCGGGACUGCUCUUGGAACUGCGUGGCUGGAGUGCAGGAGGGGCAGGCGGAAUUCCUGGUGUAGCGGUGAAAUGCGUAGAUAUCAGGAGGAACACCGGUGGCGAAGGCGGCCUGCUGGACUGCAACUGACGUUGAGGCCCGAAAGCGUGGGGAGCAAACAGGAUUAGAUACCCUAGUAGUC